rnacentral:rRNA from 1 species
UUGAUCAUGGCUCAGAUUGAACGCUGGCGGCAGGCUUAACACAUGCAAGUCGAACGGUAACAUAAAGAAGCUUGCUUCUUUGAUGACGAGUGGCGGACGGGUGAGUAAUGCUUGGGAAUCUAGCUUAUGGAGGGGGAUAACUACGGGAAACUGUAGCUAAUACCGCGUAGUAUCGAGAGAUGAAAGUGUGGGACCUUCGGGCCACAUGCCAUAGGAUGAGCCCAAGUGGGAUUAGGUAGUUGGUGAGGUAAAGGCUCACCAAGCCGACGAUCUCUAGCUGGUCUGAGAGGAUGACCAGCCACACUGGGACUGAGACACGGCCCAGACUCCUACGGGAGGCAGCAGUGGGGAAUAUUGCGCAAUGGGGGCAACCCUGACGCAGCCAUGCCGCGUGAAUGAAGAAGGCCUUCGGGUUGUAAAGUUCUUUCGGUAGCGAGGAAGGCAUUUAGUUUAAUAAACUAGGUGAUUGACGUUAACUACAGAAGAAGCACCGGCUAACUCCGUGCCAGCAGCCGC